UUGAAAGCUCGUUGAUGUGUAAUGUGCUCCGAGACCAGUGGUUCUUUCGGAACUCUGUCCCGGAAAUUAUCAUUACAGACAACGGCAGUACGUUUACCUCCAAAGAGUUUAAGACGAUGCUGGAUCGCUUCGGAAUUACCCAUUGGUUGAACUCCAGGUACCAUUCCCAAGCGAACCCAGUUGAGCGCGUAAACCGGACUAUAAACGCCGCUAUACGUACCUACGUUAAAGACGAUCAACGCUUGUGGGACACUAAGCUCUCGGAAAUUGAGCUUAUACUCAACACAAGUAUACACUCGUCCACAGGGUUUACACCGUACUACAUAACACACGGUCAAGAAUUAUCGGAGGAUGGUUCAGACCAUCGCCUUUUCCGGCAUGAUCAAAUUUUGGCCGACGAAGUGAGAGAAACUAGACGAAAACAAAGGUUCACAAGUAUUUACGAAAAGGUCAUCCAAAAUCUGACCAAAGCCCAUGAAUCUUCUCGUAAACAAUAUAAUCUUCGGCACCGGCAAUUUGCCAAAGCAUUUACGGCCGGCCAAUUAGUCUUUAGAAGGAACAUGAAACUUUCAAACGCGGGAGAGUACUAUAACGCAAAAUAUGGGCAGCAAUAUCUUCCAUGCAAAAUUCUAUCCAAAAUAGGAACCAGUUCUUAUGAACUAGAAGAUCUUGCUGGGAAAAAUCUUGGGAUCUGGCCAGCAGCCCACUUAAAACCAGGUUGAAUAAAAACACGCACAUUUACACUAUUUAUAUUUUAAAAACACAUCGAUUUUGUCCCAGAUCGGUAAAACUAAAUAAACAUAUCGCCGAAUAUUUAUAUAAUUAACGACGUGCCGCACUUGCCGAAGCAGCAAGCCACUGCACAAGUUUGGAACAUUGGCUGGCACUUCUGAGUGACCACCGUAAGUGUAUCCAAAAUGAUUUCGAACGUGCGGCAACAUUAUCGAGCGCUGAAGAUGCAUGCACGAAACAGAGCCGUCAGAAAUACCCUGGAAAAAAGGACAUAAAACAUAAUUCUUAAAUUCUAAUGCAUGAUUAAACAGCUUACCUGUGAAAUAAACAACCAUCCUCGAUUCACGCUUUGAAGAAAAUAUGAUUGUUGACAUCUCAGCUCGUUGACAGCUCAAGCAGUUGACCUAACGGGUGAUACAAAAGUAUUCCCAUAAACACCCAGUUGGUAUAAUUUACCCUCGAAUAUUUUCUAUGUUUUCUUCCAAAUGAAAUAGGGUAAAGCAGAUAAUAGCGGUACCAUAUAUUUAUCAGAUUGUGCAACAUGAAACCACAAACUGAACCUGACUUAUAAAUUAGGGCGCCCUAGAAAUUAUUAAGAUAUUUGUGCAUAAGUGUGUGAGUGGAAAUCAUGAAUCAGAAGGGAAGCUUGCAUGAAUGAUAGUGUAUGAAUGAGCGAUGCAAAUGGUUAGUGGGUAGACUGAUCGAGGAAGAAUGAGAAAGAGUAUGAUUGUGAAAGACAUGAAUGAGAGUAUGUAAAGGGAAGGAAAGGAAGAGAAACAAUUGUUAUUAAAUUUGUUUUUGUCUUUGGCGAAUGGCUUUAGACAGUAUCGGGAUAGAAGAAAGACGGUAUUAGAGUUUUGUCUUGUCUUCUACGAAUUACAUAACCUAUUUUGUCUGGGCGGCAGCUGUUGACUUUUUAUUCUGGAAGAGCAUGGGGAUGGCAAAUGCUUAUUUUUUCUGACGGACCCUGAGAUAGCUAAUUCACAUUUCCAAAUAUGACCAAAAUCACAAAAGUAGGCUGAGGCAUGGCGAGUCUCACCGUUGGAGAUUCACAUAAAUUGGAAGAAAAGAGCUCCCUAACGGGAAAAAUCAUUGUUUCAAAUUAACUAGUAUCUCCGAGGGAAGUAGGCCCAUAGUUAAGGUCAAUCUCUAUAUCUGUUUCGAGAUUAAAGAUUACAAAUAUUAUUACUUAUUUUUUUUUUGCUUAAUCUAUAAAACAAUUAUUGCUUCGGCAUGGCGAGUCUCACCGCAUAAGAAUCCCAUAAUGAUCUGGAAGAAAAGAGCUCCGUGCUACGGAAAAAUCAUUGUUUCAAAUUAAUUGGAAACUUUAGGGGAAGUAGGCCCAUGCCAAUGAGUCAUUAAAAAAAACCUUUUUUUUUUAUCCCGACUCCGGGAGGAUUGUAACCUCCGAGUCCGGUUACAUUAACUGCUUCCAAUAUAUACGUGCACAAUUGGAUUAAAAACACAUGUAAAUAAAUCUAUUGAUGAAUCUUAUCCUCUAUUCCUUAGCUAAACAUAAAAUUAUUUAUAGUAUUAAACUAGCUUAAACACUAAUAUUAACAUUUCCUAUUCCAACAUGGUGUCAGAAUUUGUCCCAUUAAAUAAACGCAAAUGAAUUAAAACAAAUGAAUUAAAUUUAUAUUAAAUUACUUAAGACUAUGAAUAUACCCUAUUAUUGAAUUUAAAAUCAAAUUUGAACUUGCUAUAAAAUGUUCCCAUACCCCUUGACGCCAUAAUCCUAACUCUUUGACAUUUCCCUGAGUCCCACUACGCAACGGAUAUUCUCCUGUCAUUCGGCACCGACUUUCACAUUCAGGACAUCAAUAAAGAUAAAUACGGAUGGAAGCGAUGGAUCAGGCCUCAUUUUCUGACAAAAGUGACACGUGAAAGCAGAAGCCGACCGACCGACAACCCUGCACUGGGAGAGUACGAUUGUGUGCACGGUGGCCCCAGCUUUACAAAGUCGACCAGUUGGCCCAAUCCGGGUGUGGACCUAGCCCGACCGGUUUCUUUCGUCGACGACGAAACAAUCGAUCCUGCGACCAACCUCGAGGAAAGAUUUCUGCUGCUGUAGCUGCUGCCGCUGGAGGGCGGUUUGAUUUAUGUUGCGCCAAAUCGAGCAAUCGUCGUGACAAGCAGAUGGAGACGCCGUUUGCUACUCCACCGACAUUGGAGGAAUUUUGAGGCCGGAAGUAAUGGCACAGAAACCGUAAGCGCGUGUAAAUCUUUUCCUUUUAUUCUUUUCCUUCCUAAAAAACAAAAUUUCUUAUUAAAAUAUUAAAUGAAUAAAAUGGCCUUGUCUUAUUAUGCAUGUAUGAACAUAUUUGUUUAAAAUCUUUACUGCCAGAGCCUUUUUCACAAAAUAUUUUCGGUUGGUUCUGCAGUUAGGGAAGACAGUCCGCAAUUCUUCCGGAGCCAAUUGCCCCCGCCGGGCAAACGUAAGUGAUUAGUAACAGUGUAUAUAAGAA